rnacentral:rRNA from 1 species
GACGAACGCUGGCGGCGUGCUUAAUACAUGCAAGUCGAGCGCAGAAGGCCGGUACUUGUACGAACCGGGUGAGCAGCGCACGGGUGAGUAACGUGUGGGGACUCUGCUUUUGUGUGGGGUACAAUAUGUGGAAACGAAUGCUAACACCGCAUAAAAACUUUCAACACAAGUGGUAUGGUUGAAAGACGCAAGUGCAUCAUUCACUGGUGACCUCGCGUUGUAUUAGUUAGUUGGUGAGGUAAAGGCUCACUGAGGGGGUGAUACAUAGCCGACCUGAGAGGGUGAUCGGCCACAUUGGGACUGAGACACGGCCCAUACUCCUACGGGAGGCAGCCGUAGGGAAUCUUCGGGAAGGGGCGAAAGUCUGACCGAGCAACGCCGAGGGAGUGAAGAAGGUUUUCGGAUCGGAAAACUCUGUUGGUAGAGAAGAACGUUGGUGAGAGUGGAAAGCUCAUCAAGUGACGGUAACUACCCAGAAAGGGACGGCUAACUACGUG